GAAUGCUGACAUAAGUAACGAUAAAGCGGGUGAAAAGCCCGCUCGCCGGAAGACCAAGGGUUCCUGUCCAACGUUAAUCGGGGCAGGGUGAGUCGACCCCUAAGGCGAGGCCGAAAGGCGUAGUCGAUGGGAAACGGGUUAAUAUUCCCGUACUUGGUGUUACUGCGAAGGGGGGACGGAGAAGGCUAUGUUGGCCGGGCGACGGUUGUCCCGGUUUAAGCGUGUAGGUGUGUGUUCCAGGUAAAUCCGGUUCACUUUAACACUGAGGCGUGACGACGAGGCACUACGGUGCUGAAGCAACAAAUGCCCUGCUUCCAGGAAAAGCCUCUAAGCAUCAGGUAACAUCAAAUCGUACCCCAAACCGACACAGGUGGUCAGGUAGAGAAUACCAAGGCGCUUGAGAGAACUCGGGUGAAGGAACUAGGCAAAAUGGUGCCGUAACUUCGGGAGAAGGCACGCUGACACGUAGGUGAAGUGAUUUACUCAUGGAGCUGAAGUCAGUCGAAGAUACCAGCUGGCUGCAACUGUUUAUUAAAAACACAGCACUGUGCAAACACGAAAGUGGACGUAUACGGUGUGACGCCUGCCCGGUGCCGGAAGGUUAAUUGAUGGGGUCAGCGCAAGCGAAGCUCCUGAUCGAAGCCCCGGUAAACGGCGGCCGUAACUAUAACGGUCCUAAGGUAGCGAAAUUCCUUGUCGGGUAAGUUCCGACCUGCACGAAUGGCGUAAUGAUGGCCAGGCUGUCUCCACCCGAGACUCAGUGAAAUUGAACUCGCUGUGAAGAUGCAGUGUACCCGCGGCAAGACGGAAAGACCCCGUGAACCUUUACUAUAGCUUGACACUGAACAUUGAGCCUUGAUGUGUAGGAUAGGUGGGAGGCUUUGAAGUGUGGACGCCAGUCUGCAUGGAGCCGACCUUGAAAUACCACCCUUUAAUGUUUGAUGUUCUAACGUGGACCCGUUACCCGGGUUGCGGACAGUGUCUGGUGGGUAGUUUGACUGGGGCGGUCUCCUCCUAAAGAGUAACGGAGGAGCACGAAGGUUGGCUAAUCCUGGUCGGACAUCAGGAGGUUAGUGCAAUGGCAUAAGCCAGCUUGACUGCGAGCGUGACGGCGCGAGCAGGUGCGAAAGCAGGUCAUAGUGAUCCGGUGGUUCUGAAUGGAAGGGCCAUCGCUCAACGGAUAAAAGGUACUCCGGGGAUAACAGGCUGAUACCGCCCAAGAGUUCAUAUCGACGGCGGUGUUUGGCACCUCGAUGUCGGCUCAUCACAUCCUGGGGCUGAAGUAGGUCCCAAGGGUAUGGCUGUUCGCCAUUUAAAGUGGUACGCGAGCUGGGUUUAGAACGUCGUGAGACAGU
rnacentral:rRNA from 1 species